rnacentral:rRNA from 1 species
AGUGAACGCUGGCGGUAGGCCUAACACAUGCAAGUCGAACGGCAGCACGGUAAGAGCUUGCUCUUACGGGUGGCGAGUGGCGGACGGGUGAGGAAUACAUCGGAAUCUACUUUUUCGUGGGGGAUAACGUAGGGAAACUUACGCUAAUACCGCAUACGACCUACGGGUGAAAGCAGGGGAUCUUCGGACCUUGCGCGAUUGAAUGAGCCGAUGUCGGAUUAGCUAGUUGGCGGGGUAAAGGCCCACCAAGGCGACGAUCCGUAGCUGGUCUGAGAGGAUGAUCAGCCACACUGGAACUGAGACACGGUCCAGACUCCGACGGGAGGCAGCAGUGGGGAAUAUUGGACAAUGGGCGCAAGCCUGAUCCAGCCAUACCGCGUGGGUGAAGAAGGCCUUCGGGUUGUAAAGCCCUUUUGUUGGGAAAGAAAAGCAGCAGGUUAAGACCCCGCUGUUCGGACGGGACCCAAAGAAUAAGCACCGGCUAACUGCGG